rnacentral:tRNA from 1 species
GCCGGUGUAGCUCAGUGGUAGAGCAACGGUUUUGUAAACCGUCGGUCGCGGGUUCGAUCCCCAUCACCGGCU